CCUACGGGUGGCAGCAGUGAGGAAUAUUGGUCAAUGGGCGUGAGCCUGAACCAGCCAAGUCGCGUGAGGGAUGAAGGUUCUAUGGAUUGUAAACCUCUUUUAUCAGGGAAUAAAGUGUGGCACGUGUCCUAUUUUGUAUGUACCUUAUGAAUAAGGAUCGGCUAACUCCGUGCCAGCAGCCGCGGUAAUACGGAGGAUCCGAUCUUUAUCCGGAUUUAUUGGGUUUAAAGGGUGCGUAGGCGGCAGUUUAAGUCAGCGGUGAAAGUCUGUGGGUCAACCAUAGAAUUGCCUUUGAAACUGCAGUGCUUGAGUACGCGAGAAGCAGGCGGAAUGCGUGGUGUAGCGGUGAAAUGCUUAGAUAUCACGCAGAACCCCGAUUGCGAAGGCAGCAUGCC
rnacentral:rRNA from 1 species